rnacentral:rRNA from 1 species
GACGAACGCUGGCGGCGUGCUUAACACAUGCAAGUCGAGCGGUAAGGCCCUUUCGGGGGUACACGAGCGGCGAACGGGUGAGUAACACGUGGGUGACCUGCCCUUAGCUCUGGGAUAAGCCUGGGAAACUGGGUCUAAUACCGGAUAUGACUCCAUAACGCAUGUUGUGGGGUGGAAAGCCUUGUGCGGCUAGGGAUGGGCCCGCGGCCUAUCAGCUUGUUGGUGGGGUGAUGGCCACCAAGGCGACGACGGGUAGCCGGCCUGAGAGGACGACCGGCCACACUGGGACUGAGACACGGCCCAGACUCCUACGGGAGGGCAGCAGUGGGGAAUCUUGCGCAAUGGGCGAAAGCCUGACGCAGCGACGCCGCGU